rnacentral:rRNA from 1 species
UGAUACUAAGCCAUGCGAGUCAUUGUAGCAAUACAAGGCAUACGGCUCAGUAACGCGUAGUCAACCUAACCUAUGGACGGGAAUAACCUCGGGAAACUGAGAAUAAUGCCCGAUAGAACAUUAUGCCUGGAAUGGUUUAUGUUCCAAAUGAUUUAUCGCCGUAGGAUGGGACUGCGGCCUAUCAGUUUGUUGGUGAGGCAAUGGCCCACCAAGACUAUUACAGGUACGGGCUCUGAGAGGAGUAGCCCCGAGAUGGGUACUGAGACACGGACCCAGGCCCUAUGGGGCGCAGCAGGCGAGAAAACUUUGCAAUGUGCGAAAGCACGACAAGGUUAAUCCGAGUGGUUUCUGCUAAAGGAACCUUUUGUCAGUCCUAGAAACACUGAUGAAUAAGGGGUGGGCAAGUUCUGGUGUCAGCCGCCGCGGUAAAACCAGCACCUCAAGUGGUCAGGAUGAUUAUUGGGCCUAAAGCAUCCGUAGCCGGCUCUGUAAGUUUUCGGUUAAAUCUGUACGCUCAACGUACAGGCUGCCGGGAAUACUGCAAAGCUAGGGAGUGGGAGAGGUAGACGGUACUCGGUAGGAAGGGGUAAAAUCCUUUGAUCUAUUGAUGACCACCUGUGGCGAAGGCGGUCUACCAGAACACGUCCGACGGUGAGGGAUGAAAGCUGGGGGAGCAAACCGGAUUAGAUACCCGGGUAGUCCCAGCUGUAAACCAUGCAAACUCAGUGAUGCAUUGGCUUGUGGCCAAUGCAGUGCUGCAGGGAAGCCGUUAAGUUUGCCGCCUGGGAAGUACGUACGCAAGUAUGAAACUUAAAGGAAUUGGCGGGGGAGCACCACAAGGGGUGAAGCCUGCGGUUCAAUUGG